rnacentral:rRNA from 1 species
CACAGUGUAGCAAUACAUGGGUGGCGACCGGCAAACGGGUGCGGAACACGUACGCAACCUUCCUUCAGGCGGGGAAUAGCCCAGAGAAAUUUGGAUUAAUACCCCAUAAUAUUUUGAGAUGGCAUCAUCUUAUUAUUAAAGCUACGGCACCUGGAGAUGGGCGUGCGGCUGAUUAGGUAGUUGGCGGGGUAAUGGCCCACCAAGCCUACGAUCAGUAGCUGAUGUGAGAGCAUGAUCAGCCACACGGGCACUGAGACACGGGCCCGACUCCUACGGGAGGCAGCAGUAAGGAAUAUUGGUCAAUGGACGCAAGUCUGAACCAGCCAUGCCGCGUGGAGGAUGAAGGUCCUCUGAAUUGUAAACUUCUUUUAUCUGGGACGAAAAAAGGGUUUUCUAACUCGUCUGACGGUACCAGAUGAAUAAGCACCGGCUAACUCCGUGCCAGCAGCCGCGGUAAUACGGAGGGUGCAAGCGUUAUCCGGAUUCACUGGGUUUAAAGGGUGCGUAGGCGGGCAUUUAAGUCAGUGGUGAAAUACCUGAGCUUAACUUGGGAACUGCCAUUGAUACUAUUUGUCUUGAAUGUCGUGGAGGUUAGCGGAAUAUGUCAUGUAGCGGUGAAAUGCUUAGAUAUGACAUAGAACACCUAUUGCGAAGGCAGCUAACUACGCGAAUAUUGACGCUGAGGCACGAAAGCGUGGGGAUCAAACAGGAUUAGAUACCCUGGUAGUCCACGCCCUAAACGAUGAUUACUCGACAUUAGCGAUACACUGUUAGUGUCUGAGCG